UACGUAGGGGGCUAGCGUUGUCCGGAAUCAUUGGGCGUAAAGCGCGUGUAGGCGGUCCGGUAAGUCCGCUGUGAAAGUCGGGGGGCUCAACCCUCGGAUGCCGGUGGAUACUGUCGGGCUUGAGUACGGAAGAGGCGAGUGGAAUUCCUGGUGUAGCGGUGAAAUGCGCAGAUAUCGGGAAGGAACACCAAUGGCGAAGGCAGCUCGCUGGGACGGUACUGACGCUGAGACGCGAAAGCGUGGGGAGCAAACAGGAUU
rnacentral:rRNA from 1 species